UGUCGAUGCAGUUGUUCCUACUGUUGUUGGUUCUGUUCUUGUUGGAGCCUGUGUAGUUGAUUCUGUGGUAGGGGUUAGUUCUGUUGUUGCUGCUGUAGUUAAUGUUGUACUUGGAGCUGUAGUUGUUGCUUCCUCAGUUGGAGCUGGAGUAGUUGUAGAUGCAGUUGUUGGUACUGUUGUUGGUUCUGUGCUUGUUGUAGCCUGUGAAGUUGAUUCUGUGGUAGUGGUUAGUUCUGUUGUUGCUGCUGUAGAUGAUGUUGUACUUGGAGCUGUAGUUGUUUCCCCUCUAGUUGUUGCUUCCUCAGUUGGAGUAGUUGGACCUGGAGUAGUUGUAGAUGCGGUUGUUCCUUCUGUUGUUGGUUCUCCACUUGUUGUAACCUGUGUAGUUGAUAGUUCUGUAGUUGUUAUUGUUGUCAGUACAUUUGUACUUGUAGUUUCCUCUGUAGUACUUGGUUCCUGAGUUGUAGUGGUUGGGGCUACAGUUGUUGUAGAUGCUGUUGUUGGUACUGUUGUUGGUUCUGUGCUUGUUGUAGCCUGUGUAGUUGAUUCUGUGGUAGUGGUUAGUUCUGUUGUUGCUGCUGUAGUUAAUGUUGUACUUAGAGCUGUAGUUGUUUCCUCUGUAUUUGUUGCUUCCUCAGUUGGAGUAGUUGGACCUGGAGUAGUUGUAGAUGCGGUUGUUCCUUCUGUUGUUGU
ensembl:lncRNA